UACGGAAGGCAGCAGUGGGGAAUAUUGCACAAUGGGCGCAAGCCUGAUGCAGCCAUGCCGCGUGUAUGAAGAAGGCCUUCGGGUUGUAAAGUACUUUCAGUCGUGAGGAAGGUGUUAAGGUUAAUAACCUUAGCAAUUGACGUUAGCGACAGAAGAAGCACCGGCUAACUCCGUGCCAGCAGCCGCGGUAAUACGGAGGGUGCGAGCGUUAAUCGGAAUUACUGGGCGUAAAGGGCACGCAGGCGGUUAAUUAAGUUGGAUGUGAAAUCCCCGGGCUUAACCUGGGAAUGGCAUUCAAGACUGGUUAGCUAGAGUCUUGUAGAGGGGGUAGAAUUCCAUGUGUAGCGGUGAAAUGCGUAGAGAUGUGGAGGAAUACCGGUGACGAAGGCGGCCCCUGGACAAAGACUGACGCUCAUGUGCGAAAGCGUGGGGAGCAAACAGGGAUUAGAUACC
rnacentral:rRNA from 1 species